rnacentral:rRNA from 1 species
CUCGUAGGUGGCCAACUAAGUCAGACGUGAAAUCCCUCGGCUUAACCGGGGAACUGCGUCUGAUACUGGAUGGCUUGAGUUUGGGAGAGGGACGCGGAAUUCCAGGUGUAGCGGUGAAAUGCGUAGAUAUCUGGAGGAACACCGGUGGCGAAGGCGGCGUCCUGGACCAAUACUGACACUGAGUGAGCGAAAGCCAGGGGAGCAAACGG